UCCGGUGAUUAUAGCAGAGAGGAUACACCUGUUCCCAUCCCGAACACAGAAGUUAAGCUCUCC
rnacentral:rRNA from 1 species